rnacentral:rRNA from 1 species
GACGAACGCUGGCGGCGUGCUUAACACAUGCAAGUCGAACGAUGAAGCUGGAGCUUGCUCCGGUGGAUUAGUGGCGAACGGGUGAGUAACACGUGAGCAAUCUGCCCUUGACUCUGGGAUAACUGCGGGAAACUGUAGCUAAUACCGGAUACGAGGCUCGAAGGCAUCUUCGGGUCUGGAAGGAAUUUCGGUCAAGGAUGAGCUCGCGGCCUAUCAGCUUGUUGGUGAGGUAAUGGCUCACCAAGGCGACGACGGGUAGCCGGCCUGAGAGGGUGACCGGCCACACUGGGACUGAGACACGGCCCAGACUCCUGCGGGAGGCAGUAGUGGGGAAUAUUGCACAAUGGGCGAAAGCCUGAUUCAGCAACGCCGCGUGAGGGAUGAAGGCCUUCGGGUUGUAAACCUCUUUUAGCAGGGAAGAAGCGAAAGUGACGGUACCUGCAGAAAAAGCACCGGCUAACUACGUGCCAGCCGCCGCCGUAA